AACUACAGGAGAGAGAGC
rnacentral:misc_RNA from 1 species